rnacentral:rRNA from 1 species
CCUACGGGGGGCUGCAGUGAGGAAUAUUGGUCAAUGGGCGUACGCCUGAACCAGCCAAGUCGCGUGAGGGAAGACUGCCCUAUGGGUUGUAAACCUCUUUUGUCAGGGAGCAACGCCGGCUACGUGUAGCCGGACUGAGAGUACCUGAAGAAAAAGCAUCGGCUAACUCCGUGCCAGCAGCCGCGGUAAUACGGAGGAUGCGAGCGUUAUCCGGAUUGAUUGGGUUUAAAGGGUGCGUAGGCGGAAUGCCAAGUCAGCGGUAAAAUCGCGGGGCUCAACCUCGCUCCGCCGUUGAAACUGGCGUUCUUGAGUGGGCGAGAAGUAUGCGGAAUGCGUGGUGUAGCGGUGAAAUGCAUAGAUAUCACGCAGAACUCCGAUUGCGAAGGCAGCAUACCGGCGCCCAACUGACGCUGAAGCACGAAAGCGUGGGUAUCGAACAGGAUUAGAUACCCUGGUAGUC